rnacentral:rRNA from 1 species
UACGAAGGGGGCUAGCGUUGCUCGGAAUCACUGGGCGUAAAGCGCACGUAGGCGGAUUGUUAAGUCAGGGGUGAAAUCCUGGAGCUCAACGUCCAGAACUGCCUUUGAUACUGGCGAUCUCGAGUCCGGGAGAGGUGAGUGGAACUGCGAGUGUAGAGGUGAAAUUCGUAGAUAUUCGCAAGAACACCAGUGGCGAAGGCGGCUCACCUGGCCCGGUACUGACGCUGAGGUGCGAAAGCGUGGGGAGCAACAGG